AGAGUUACUGUAUCCUAGCACAUUAUGGCCUCUAACCUGAAAGAGGACUUUGAAAUUGAGUAUGAAAGCAUACGGAAAGUGGACAAAACUUGCGAAAGAGAUACUCUGUGUAGAGGAGCAUUUUGGCCAACUGCACUCUGUCUUGGUGUGAUGUGUAUUCUUCAAGCAACUCUUAACAUCGGCCUGAGACUAAACUUUAACCUAGAGGCUGGGACUGAUCUAUUAAACACAAGCUUCCACAACCUGACCAUAGAUGAGCUUCGGACCAGUUGCACUGAGCUGCUUAAGGAGAAAAAACAGUUACACUUACAAAGAGACCAAUUACAAAUCAAAAACACCAACCUGGGUGAAGAGAGAGAUGAGAUAAAGGAGAGUAACAACAACUUAGUUAAGGAGAA